rnacentral:miRNA from 1 species
CUUCCAUCGGAGCUCGUCAGA